UGCCAGCCGCCGCGGUAAUACGGAGGGGGCGAGCGUUAUUCGGAAUUAUUGGGCGUAAAGGGCUCGCAGGCUGCUUGAACAGUUAGACGUGAAAUCCCCGGGCUCAACCUGGGAACUGCGUUUAAUACUAGCAAGCUAGAGAAAUAGAGAGGAAAGUGGAACUCCCAGUGUAGAGGUGAAAUUCGUAGAUAUUGGGAAGAACACCAGUGGCGAAAGCGCUCUGCUGGGCCAUCACUGACGCUCAUGGACGAAAGCCAGGGGAGCGAAAGGGAUUAGAUA
rnacentral:rRNA from 1 species